ensembl:lncRNA
UAGGGAGAACUGUUGUAGGGGCAGGGAGGACUGUUGUAAGAUUAGGGAGAACUGUUGUAGGGGUAGGGAGUGCUGUUGUAGGGGUAGGGAGGACUGUUGUAGAGGUAGGAAGUACUGUUGUCAGAGUAGGGAGUACUGUUGUAGGUGUAGGGAGGACUGUUGUAGAGGUAGGAAGUAAUGUUGUCAGAGUAGGAUGUACUCUUGUAGGGGUAGGGAGUACUGUUGUAGGGCUCUGGAGGACUGUUGUAGGGGCAGGGAGGACUGUUGUAUGGGUAGGAAGUACUGUUGUAGGGGUAGGGAGGACUGUUGUAGGUGUAGGGAGGACUGUUGUAGGUGUAGGGAGGACUGUUGUAGGGGCAGGGAGGACUGUUGUAGGGGUAGGGAGGACUGUUGUAGGGGUAGGGAGUACUGUUGUAGGGGCAGGGAGGACUGUUGUAGGGGUAGGGAGGACUGUUGUAGGGGUAGGGAGGACUGUUGUAGGGGUAGGGAGGACUGUUGUCAGAGUAGGGAGGACUGUUGUAGG